GAUGAACGCUAGCGAUAGGCCUAACACAUGCAAGUCGAGGGGCAGCACAUGAGUAGCAAUACGAUGGUGGCGACCGGCGCACGGGUGAGUAACACGUAUGCAACCUACCUUUAACAGGGGAAUAACCCGUUGAAAAACGGACUAAUACUCCAUAACACAGGGGUCCCGCAUGGGAAUAUUAGGUAAAGACUUAUCGGUUGAAGAUGGGCAUGCGUUCCAUUAGCUUGUUGGUGAGGUAACGGCUCACCAAGGCCACGAUGGAUAGGGGAACUGAGAGCUGUAGCCCCCACACGGGAACUGAGACACGCUCCAGACGCCUACGGGAGGCAGCAGUGAGGAAUAUGGGUCAAUGGAGGCAACUCUGAACCAGCCAAGUCGCGUGAAGGAUGAAGGUCUUAUGGAUUGUAAACUUCUUUUGCAAGGGAAUAAAGUGGGGAACGUGUCCUCCUUUGCAUGUACCUUGCGAAUAAGGAUCGGCUAACUCCGUGCCAGCCGCCGCCGCAA
rnacentral:rRNA from 1 species